CAGGGCUUGACAUCCCUUGACGAUUCUAGAGAUAGGAUUUCCCUUCGGGGCAAGGAGACAGGUGGUGCAUGGUUGUCGUCAGCUCGUGUCGUGAGAUGUUGGGUUAAGUCCCGCAACGAGCGCAACCCCUGUUGUUAGUUGCCAGCAUUAAGUUGGGCACUCUAGCGAGACUGCCGGUGACAAAUCGGAGGAAGGUGGGGACGACGUCAAAUCAUCAUGCCCCUUAUGUCCUGGGCGACACACGUACUACAAUGGCUGUUACAGAGGGCAGCGAGACCGCGAGGUGGAGCAAAUCCCUAAAAGCAGCCCCAGUUCGGAUUGCAGGCUGAAACUCGCCUGCAUGAAGUCGGAAUUGCUAGUAAUGGCAGGUCAGCAUACUGCCGUGAAUACGUUCCCGGGCCUUGUACACACCGCCCGUCACACCAUGGGAGUCAGUUGCUCUAGAAGUCGGUGCGCCAACCUCGGAGGCAGCCGCCUAAAGAGUGACUGGUGACUGGGGUG
rnacentral:rRNA from 1 species